rnacentral:rRNA from 1 species
AAACCAGCACCUCAAGUGGUCAGGAUGAUUAUUGGGCCUAAAGCAUCCGUAGCCGGCUCUGUAAGUUUUCGGUUAAAUCUGUACGCUCAACGUACAGGCUGCUGGGAAUACUGCAGAGCUAGGGAGUGGGAGAGGUAGACGGUACUCGGGAGGAAGUGGUAAAAUGCUUUGAUCUCUCGAUGACCACCUGUGGCGAAGGCGGUCUACCAGAACACGUCCGACGGUGAGGGAUGAAAGUUGGGGGAGCAAACCGGAUUAGAAACCCUGGUAGUCC